CGAGAUGAGAAUCCAUUUGGUACAUCCGCCAACGGACGAAAAGUAACGGCCUUCCACAGCACUACAUUCCAAUACCAACACACAAGUAAACCACGAAAUUGUUCAUCGUCUCUUUCAUCUCCUCAACCACCUCCAUCAACAUCCUACUAUCGGCUCAAAAUCUCCUCCAUGGACAGCAAUUGCAGCUUCAUAUCAUGCGACAAGCUUGAUCGUAUGGCCAACUGGGUGGGGACUAACGUGGCGUCCGCCUUCUUCGCAUCACUGGAACGUUGCUCAUGCAUCAAUCUCAACACCACCGACCUCGAGGACGAAGAAGAGGCCAAGGACCGUCCUCUCAUGCUUACCACGCACCCCGUCCACGACAACACGGAGUCCCCGGCCCAACCCCAGCUCACCACCGCCGCUCACUAGUUUCCGUUUUUUCACUAAUCCAAACAAGUUAGGGUUCGUUAUGUUGUGGAAUUCAUGCUUUUUUGAGUUUUUUUUUUAAAAAAAAAUCUGAUGCGUUAACUUCGAAAUUCUGUAGAUAAUUGCCAAUAAUUGAUGUAAUACUUUGUUUUGAUGUAAUACUUUGUUGUUUCGGUUCAGUUUUGUUGGAUCAAAGCUUUUGAAUUGUAUUUUUUUAGAUGUUUUUAAGAAGAAUUGUCAGCUUCAAUUUUGUUUGUUGGCUAUUAAUUCCCUUCUUUAUUUUUAAUUUUCUUUACUGGUUGGGCGCAUUUCUGAUGCUUCGAUUCUAUUUAUCUAAUUGCAUGUGUAUCUUGAAAUUUAAAAUAAAUUCUUGUUCAAAUUUGCGAUAUGCUCAUCAUCUUAUUAGAUUUGUAGCUUCUUGUGCGGGAUCUGGUUAAAAAAUGCAAAUUCUUUUUUUGUUAAUUAAAUGAACAUAGAAGUAUCCUAUUUACUUAGUGUUGAGAAAACAUGCAUAGGUUUUGCCUGCAAAUGCUUAAACCUUCCUGGAAUUUUAGAUUCAGCACGAUCUUCCCUUGCAGUUCAGAGAGAUUAACUGUAGUAUAGCUGUCAUUUUGAGAUAUGCAAAGAGGUCUAUGCAUUCAUAGUUUAUACAUUUUGAUUUAGGCUACAUUCUUUCUGCCUUAGGAUUGAACUAUAAUAGUUAUUAUACCAUGCCAGCAUCUUGCAUCAAACUUGAGCUUCUUAUUCACCUGGUUUGGCAUUUCCAAGGGUUUUUCAUUUCAAACUCUGAAGAUAUUCCAUUUCAAUGGGCUAUUCCAUCAGAAUAGAGGCUCAUAAAUUGAGUAUUUUGACCACAUGAAAGACUUGUGCCACUACAUGAAUGUGAGCAAUAGUCUAUAAAUGGAAAUUUUGAAUCUGUUCAACUAUUUGAUCAUCCAUUUGAUGGGGCUUCAGAAUGAUGAUGCUUUGAAGAAAAUCUUUAUGUCUGGCUUAGUUACAGAAUGGAUUAGUUCUUUGUUUCUUAUACGAAUUUCCAUUUUUAUCUUGUCCUUCAUGGUUGUUUUAUGUUCUCCUAGCUGGUAUAUGGCAACCCAUGAUUUUGUGCUGGUUCCUUAGCAAGCCAUUGUUGUUAUUCUAUAUGUAGGAGUUGCUCCUGCUAGCUUAGGCUAUCAAACACUUACAUUUGAAUUAGCCAAGAAAAUGCACUCGUGUCAUUCUGAUUGUCGUUCCUCUUGUUUGUGUAAUAGAGAACAUUAUAUGCUAUUUGAAGAUAGUGCUUCUUGUUAGUGGAAACCAAGAUACGAGAAAAAUCUUUUCUUCAUGAUUAAUGUUUUGACAUCACUUGCUAGUUGUUUUUGUAGAUUGGUUUCAGAAAAGUUUCUCUAUUUGGUAUGGUUAAAUAUCUAUUGAAUUGAGUGCAGCAUUAAGACAGCUUUUACCUGUGAAUCUGUGGUUUUAUUUAAGGGACCUAUUGAGCAAAAGAAAUUUAAUGGAAGACAAUGAGCAUUUUGCUUUAACAUUCGGAAAGAAUUACCGAUAGAGGGUUGUAUGGUCAUUUAACUUUAUCCAUCAUAACUUGUUCUGUCUUUGGCAUGUAAAUACUAAAUUCAUGGAAGUUUCUAAAUCUGAUGUUAAUUGAUUUUUGGAAAGAUCUUUACGUUAAAGAGUAUUAAUUGGUACUAAAGAGGAUCGAUCUAGUUUUGAAUAUCACCAGUACUUUUUGUCCAGCCUAAUGAGAUUCAAUAUAGUUCCUGCAAAAGUGGAUCUGUCACAGGAGACGACAAAAAUCAGAAUACGGUAUCAGCUACUGUUUCCCACGAAGACAUGCUAGUCUUGAGAAAUUUCCAGUAAAGGAGCUUUAAUAUGUUGUGAUCUUUGCCUAAUUGUUAAAAUUUUAGUUUCCCAAGAUUUCUAUGUGGGCAUGCAUGCCUACUAAAUCACGUCGCAGCCAUGCAAAAAGAAAAGAAAUUGAUGCUUUUGUUUGUAUAGAUUUUCUGGGGGAUUGCAAAGUGGGGAUAUCAUCAAACAGUUCAAAAUUUGAAAAGCACAAUUACACGCUAAAGAACUUCAGAAGGAAAACCAGAGCACAGCAUGAAUUUGCAGUAGGUAAUUGAAAGCUAAUUCAUUUUACAUAGAAGUUAAAAUUCUGAACCACUUGCAGCAGUAGCAUUAUCAUCUAUCGAAUUUAUAUUACAAGGUUUCAGAUCUCGCAGACAGGACUGUCACUUAUCUUCACUAUCUUUCCAGCAUAUCAGCAUCAGCACACAACGACGGAUGAUAUAGAGCCUUGCUUGCUUCUCUUUCAAAGUCUUAUGUCUUGGAACCUUGAAUUUUCCUUCUGUCUUGUGUGAAGAAGGCAGGCAUCCAUUACCCAUGGGCUUAUGUUCCUGCUGUUUUCACUGGAAAGUAAGAGGAAGAAAGCACUGCAAGGUGAAUCUGACUGGAGUCUUCUACGGUGCUUGCUGAUUCUCUCUUUUGGUGGAAAAGGACUGGUAUUUGUCUCUAAAGACAUCUUGAAAAAUGGAGGAGUACGGAAGUUACUUAAGUUUGUUUGAAAGUUUUUGUCUUUUAGAUGCAGUGAGUUAUUAUUUUAAGUUGCUGUGUGGAAGUUGUGGUUUUCUUGGGAGCUCUGCUGGGCAACAUGAAGCCUGAUUUGUGCAUACAGACCUUGCAUCUCUUUAACGGUCUAUUUUAUGGAGAGAUUCCGGCUAGCUGUCUCUAGUGGUAACCAAGCCAAAUGUCAUUGCAGUUUUUGGGCCACUUAUAUGCCCCUUUGUUUGUAUUGUAGGAAACUGUUAAUUGCCAACUCAAAUGCCUUACGGAUGACAUGCUUACCGUUCUAAUAGCUGGGUUUAUGUUAUGCAUAAAUCUAACCCUUUUUCCCUAACAUUUUGCCUGUUAGUAAUUUACGCAGGAGGUAACUUGUCUUUUUCUUCUUGCAAAGAGGACACCAUCUUCACCACUCUUAAGGAACCAACGGGGACAACAACUGNNNNNNNNNNNNNNNNNNNNNNNNNNNNNNNNNNNNNNNNNNNNNNNNNNNNNNNNNNNNNNNNNNNNNNNNNNNNNNNNNNNNNNNNNNNNNNNNNNNNNNNNNNNNNNNNNNNNNNNNNNNNNNNNNNNNNNNNNNNNNNNNNNNNNNNNNNNNNNNNNNNNNNNNNNNNNNNNNNNNNNNNNNNNNNNNNNNNNNNNNNNNNNNNNNNNNNNNNNNNNNNNNNNNNNNNNNNNNNNNNNUUAAAUUGAAAUUUUUUUAAAUUAUUAUUUUAUUAAUAUCAGUCACGAAAGUCAAUUCAAAUUUUUAAUGUACACUCAAAAAAUAUAAUAUUUAUUAAAAAAAAAUUUAGCAUUGAGUUUAAAUAUAGAAAAUUACCAUAUUAUUAUUGCGAACCUAUAAGCUUGAAAAAUUUUGAUCAUAAUCAUCAACUUUGCAAUAGAUCCACCGAGGAGUCCUGCUUAUUUUGCACAAAAAGGUGUGAUCACCACGUUCUGCUCCAUGAGAUGUAGUUAUCUUUGAUGAGUUAAACACCAGCAGUGGAUCGAGAUUAUUUGAAUUAUGUAAAAAGAUAUAACUGUUUGCAUCAUUAAAGAUAUAUUUUCCUUAUAGUUGUGAUAUAAGAUUUUUCAUAACAUUUGAAAAAAAUAAAAAUAAAACAACAAGAACAAGAAUUAAGAAACAAGAACCAAGGAUUCUUUGACCAGAUUAUUAGGAAGGGAAAUCAAAUGAAGUGAUUGAAUGAAAAAUCAUUGAGUAAAGAAAAAUCAGACGAAAGAGGGAAAGAGAAUGAAUGUGAAGUUAUUGGGAAGUGAGUCAAAAGAAUUUUGCUCUUAUACCAUAGUACUGAGUUAAGAAAAAGGUUUAUCAUCACCAUCAUCAUCUCCUCUUUAAUAAGAUAAACUAAGUAUCUAUAGAUACACAUCAAAGCAUUAAAGAUAAUGUAGACUAAUUAACAACUAAUUAAUAACUAAUUGGCUAAUUAACAUAAAAGAAAAGAUAACAACCAACUAAUUUACACCUUUAAUAUCUGUCAAACAACUUGUGGAGAGCUUAAUUUCAAAAAUGAUUCAUGAGUUUUAAUUCUUUUCUCAAUGCGAUUUAUGAUCUUCCUCUUAUAAUCAAGUUCCUGUUUAUUUUCUUGUUUAACUCAAUUAUAUCGUUAACUUAUCUGUUAAAUAAAUAUAAUUCUUAACAUGAUAAUUACGUUAUUAAAAACUUAUGAUAUAGAUAUGUGUGUAUUAAUUUUUUUUCAUGUUAUGAUUAUAUAAAAAAAAAUUAUCUUUAAAAUUAAUAAAUUUAGAUGAUAAAAAAUUAUAUUUAUUAUUUUUUUAUAUUAGAUUUUUAAUUCAAUAACAAGUCUACUUCAAAAAAUUGUUUUUCAUUAUGAAUUAAUUUGUUUUUUUCACAUAAAUCUCAUUUGUUUAAAACUUUAUUUGAAACUACAGUAUUCUUUUACUUUAUUUCACAAUGUUUUCUAGUGAAAAAAUAUAAAAUUUAAACUUCAACUUUUAAAAAAUGUUUAAAUUAUAACUUUAUUUUUUUAGUGUAAAUCAACUAACAAUUUCUAAAAAUGUAAAAAUUACCUUUGUGCUAUGAGAAAAAAGUUAACAUUAUUUAAUAUCAGCAAACUUGGACGAUGAUAUCAUUUGUAUUAAUACAUGAGGAUAGCACGUAAAUGAUACAUGAUGUUUACAUGGACUCAUAUAAAAAGGGCUUAAUAUGUCCUCUAAAAACCAAAAUCCCCAUACUUUUAUCUCACGACUUUCAAAACUCAUCCUCCAACUUCGUCCCCAAUCAUCCACCUACGAGCUUCUAACUUCAAAGCAUCUAUGCUAAUGAUUGCAUCUUUUUAAAAAUCCAUUGUGCGACCUAUCUGCUAAGGAAACACAUUGCUUAGCCCAUCAAUGUCCAUAUGGAACUAUAUACAAAUGGUUGCAUCCGUACCAUAGAAACCAAAAUUUUCAUAUUUCUAUCUCACCACCUUUGAAACCACCAUCCAUCAUCGUCCUUAAUCAUCCACCUAUAGGUUUCUACCUUGAAGCAUCGUCGCUGGUGGUUACGUCUUCUAAAUACAUUGCGAGACAUAAUAUAUACGACUAAUUAAUAUCUAUUACUUAAAUUCAAUAAUAACAUGAACUUUGAUUUUUAUCUUUUUUUAGUAGGAGAACUCUAAUGUCGUUACCAAAAAAUAAUUGAUUAAAUAAAAGAAUGAUUGUACUCCACAAAUUAUGCAUGUUUAUUUAUUUUGACCUCCUUAUGUUCAUUUAAUUUUAAAAUUAUUUUUGACUCAUAUAGAUAGUUGGCUUUUUAUUUUAUAUAACCACAAGUUUACUAAUCACACCUUAACCUGCCAAAAUGCAAGCCAUUUUGGGCUUAAAUGAAACAAACACAAGACUUAGGUAUAUGUGUUGACACAUAUUUAAUAUCCAUGACAUAUGUGUUUACAUAAGUAUACUUAAUAUUAAUUUUUUUUCUUCAGCAUAAUUAACUUUAAUUUUUAGAUCACAAAUCAUAUCCACAACUAAGUUGUAUCAUCAAAAGAAUGAAGGUCAUUUCAACAAUACAAAAUGAGGUAGCAAGGAACACGUACUAUAUUAUCCAGAAAAUUUUAAGAAACACACAAUAUUUAUGAACAACAGUAAUAAAUAAUAUCACUUUUCACAAAAUAAUUCAACAAUAAUAAUAUAAAUUACAAAUAUACCACAAUAGUAACAAAAAAGUUUAAUUGUCACUAUUUGCUCAUCACUAAAACUUCAACAUUUGUAGCGUAAUAAACAACUAUUUUAUUAUUUUCAAAUCUUAUUUCUAUACAGAAAUCAUAAAUAAAAUAAAAGUAUUAUAUUUAAAUAUUAUAUGUUAAGUUUGUCUAGUACAAGAAUUAACAAAAAUAAAUAUAAAAUCUUUAUUCUACUUAUGUUUGGAUUUUACUUUUAUUAUUUUUUAUUAUCCAAAAGAAAGUAAAAAAAAUAAAAAGAAAAAUGAGAAAAAGUGAGUGAGUAAAAAAAUUAAGAGGGAUAAUCUCCUCAACUAUAAUACUCAUUUUAUAUUCUUAUUGUUUUCUCAUUCUUUACUUUUUUUUUUUUUUUUUGUUUUUUGGUUUGGUUGCAACUUGUUCCCCUUCUCAAGCUCCCUCCACUCUCUCUUUCUCUUCAUUUUUCUAUUUUCCUUCUCUAUUUGUCUUCCCUCCCUCUCUUUCUUUGUUGUUUCUCUAUUAUUUCCCUUUUGUCUUCUUCUUGCUAAUGUAUAUAUAUAUAUUCUCAUCUUCUGUCAAAAUUCUCGAUUUCUCAAGCUCAAUACCAUAACUCUCUUAUCCUUCAUUUUUUCCUCACAACCCUUUGAAAUUAAAGUUUGUCUCUCUAUUUUUGUUUGCUUUUCAAAACCACAUUCCUCCCAUCUCUUAAGCUUCUUUUUCCCCUCUUCCUUUUGUCUCUAAAUCAAAACCAAAAUAAUUUUUUUUUUUUUUAAAGAGAAGUUAUAAAUUCAUAAAGGACAAUUGCCGAAUUAAUAAUGAUCACUAAAAAAAUUAAUUAUGUGAUUAUUUACUGUAAGCAAAUUAAAUAAAAGAAGAUGGAAGAAAAAUAAAUAAAAAAUAAAGAUAUAUAUAUAUAUGUAUUUUAAAGACUUAUGAGUUUGUUAAUUAAAAUUGAGAAAAAUUGGUAUUUUCAUUUUUUGAUGCCUCAACCUUGUGAACAAUUCUCAACAAUUUGGUGCGUAAUUUUCAAUGCUGAUUUUAUUUAUUUAUUUAUUACCAGAUAAAUUGUUGUUGUGAUAGGUUUUUUUAUACAAAAAAAAAAUAUGUAAUAUUUUUGUGGCAAUUUCAAAAUGUUAUAUUUAUAUAUAUAUAUAUAUAUAUGCUGUUAUUACUGCUUAUUUAUUUAUUCAUUUUAUGUCACAUUACGCUUUACAGUGACAAAUUUUUAGUGACCUUAAAUAUUUUAUACCAAUAAAUAUAUAUUAUGAUGAAUAUUAUUAUUCUUCACAAAACAAUAACAUCAGCGUUAAUACUACACUAAUAACGAAAAUUGUAAUUUGCCAUUAAUUAUUAUAGUAUAAUAAAUGACUAUAGAUUUCCAGCAACUAAAAUCUUCCAUUAUUUUCAAAUAUUAUUACGUUGACCCAAACAUUCACCCAGCCAUCAAGUCGAAGCUGACCCAAUAGUUAGACUCUCCAAAACGUUGCCGUUCUGGGAGCCUCCCUUCUUUUCCCUAGGAGGAACUACAAAAGAAAACGCAGCAUGUUUCUUCCUUCACUCCGCUUCUCCACAGCCAAAAGAGCAAAGCGGCGAGGCAAUGAGACAGGAAGACAACGGCACGUCUAUCAGGAGAAGCAGAAGAAACAACAAGGCAACAGAGCAGCGAAGAAGAUAAGACAAGGAGACAACCUUUUAGUGAAGGUCAAGGGGCGAGUUUGAAAGAAGAACCAGGUCAGAGUAAGAUAUAGAGGCCGAAAAGGGGAGAGCUCUAAACAAAAUAGGGGAUUUUCUGGUUCAAAUUGAAACAUUUAGGGAACUGUUAGAGAGGUUAGCAGAAACCUGCGGGAGAUACGACGAUGGGAAAGAAAACUGGGAGCAGUUCAAGGUCGUCGGUGGUUAGCCCCAAAAUCUUGAAUCUUCGAAUCGAUUCGUGCAAGCAUAAAUAUUCAACCUCUGACGAAGUGGUGGAAUAUCUCCGCUCUAAUUUCUCCGAGUAUGCUCGUCUUAAGCACCUGCCGUUGAAACGACGGGUUGAGCAAAUCCUUCAGUCCAGGAAUACCCCUUUUAUCUUCCAACGGCAAGACCAUGAGGGUGACGACGACGAUGAUGAUGGCGAUGAGCAAGUAGACCUUUCUCGCAAGAAACGAAGUAGGGCCCUUGAGAGUGAACAUAGGUUGCAGAACCUCGAGAAUUUGCACCUCCAAAGGAGACGAGCUCAUGCUUGUCGGGACGCAUCAUCUGAUGAAGAAGAUGGGUCUGUUUCCACGUCGGAGGAUGCUGUCUAUGGGCAGAAAUUGGAACCCCAGUUCGACCUCACCAAGUCCAUGCUACGGGCUAAUUACUCCGCUUCCAACAAGAAACCAAAGCCCACUGCUGAAGAGAAGAAUGUAGAAGUCGAGAUAGCCAGUGAAAAGAUGAAAAUCAAGAUGGAUAUGAACCCAAGCAUAAAAAAAGAUGCCAAGGCUUCUGUUUCUUCUGGUUGUGGCAGAGUUCUGGAAGGGACCGGAAAGAGAGGGCCAAGAUUCAGCGACUUGGGGGGAUUGAGGAGCGUGUUGGAGGAGCUGAUGAUGGAAGUCAUAAUUCCGCUCCACCAUCCGCAGUUGCCGCAGUGGCUGGGUGUGAGACCCAUUGCUGGAAUUCUGCUGCAUGGCCCACCUGGAUGCGGCAAGACCAAACUGGCUAAUGCCAUUGCGAACGAGACUGGCGUCCCCUUCUACCAGAUUUCUGCUACUGAGGUUGUCUCUGGUGUCUCUGGUAUGCAGCGUCUCUGCUUUUCACCCAAUUAAGAUUUUUCUUCGACUUGCUGCUUUAUAGACUUGUAUUACACUUUUUAAGUUUGUACUAGGAAUAUUUGAAAGGUAAUGAUGCAAACUGAAAACAUUCCUUUUGCUGUUGUUAUACUAUAGAUCAGUAGAAAGUAUUGCUUUCUAAAAGGAAAAAAAUCACAAAUAAAAAUGUCAAGAAUAUCAGAAAUGAAUUCAUGCUUAAAAUCAGUGCUGAGAAGUUUGUUUAUUACUUGUGAGUUUCCACCCAAUCCGGGGAUGUAAUUCUAUGGCUUCUUUUCAUCAUUAGAUCAAUCUCUCUACAAUGCAACCUCCUAUUGGUUCAUCUUACAGGAGUUGGACUUCUGAUGCAGAAUGAAAUAUUUUGGCUGUAGAAAAUAUUUUUUUAAUUAUUAUUAAAUCUGAAUUAUAUAGGCUACUCAUAAAUUGUAGUUAGUUUUAGUAGGUUUUGAAUUUAACUGAUCUUUACUAUUGAGAUAUGUUACUUGUUGAUUGUGAUUAGGUUUGUAAUUAGUUCAUAAUAACCGCUGCUAACCUAGACAAUAGGAGACAAAGAUGAACUAAAGAAUACUUCCAGGGUUAAGUUCCUCAUUACCUUUGUGUUCUCUGUUCUGAUCCAUUUUUGUUUUCUAGCAAGUACUAUUUAUCUCUCUAUAUUUCCUUUUUUUUUUUGAGAUAAUCUCUCUAUAUUUCCUUAUCUUAGUUCCUGCUCUUAUGUUUGUCAUUUGUCCUGUUCUUUUGUUAUCUUACUUUAGUUUCCUCUAACUCUAUAGUAUUUUGAUAAGUUGUUUCCAAACUGUACUUGUCCUACAUCAAUUUUGCUUCAGAACUUACAUGUGCUACAUCAAUUUGGUCUCAAGUCCUACUUGUCCUAUGUGAUGGGGAUAAAGCCACCCGACCAUAUGGUUUCUCUAUGGUUUUUCUCCAAAAAAAUUGGAAUCUUGUCUGCUGUGUUCUUUGUGGGCUAUUUGAUGAAUUCUUUGACUUCAGAAAGUUUGUUGAUUCCUUGAACUCUACCUUCUAAAUAUUGAGGAUGUUGACAAUAUAAAGGACUAGAGGCCAAUUAGCCUAGUGAGUAGUUUCUAACUAAUAGGCAAGGUGCUUGCAUUAAGGCUAAAAGGGUGGUCAGAUCAAUUGUUGGGAAGCCCGAUAGACUUUUUUGAAGGCUGUUACUCUUUAGAUGCCCCAUUGAUUGCCAAAGAGGGAGUAAAUUCAAUCGUCCACUUGAGGGGAAUGGGUUUGAUGUAUAAGUUGGGAUGUUGAACAUGUAAACAACUACAAACAAGUGGCUUGGUUUUUCUUUGAGCAUCUUUUAGAUUCCUCACAAUAUGGAAGAAAUAUAUUUUUAAGAUGUAUAAUCUCUUCCACAUUUGUAGUUUUGAUCAAUGAUGGCAGACUAAUUUCGUACACUCUUUUAAGGGAUUAUGGAGGCUUUUAAUAAAGCACUGAUGUAGGCUAGAGAUUCGUACUUGAUCCAAGACUGAAUAUUGGGAGGGUGGGAGAAGAAAAGUGGUAUUUCACUUACUUUUUGCCGAUAAUUCUCUUCUGUUUUGCAGGUGAAAUUGGGACAAAUUGUGUAACCUCAGAUGCUUGCUUGUAUGCCUUGAGGUGUUUUCUGGCAUUAAGUCUACUCGGAAAAGUCUGCUAGUUGCUUUUGGGGAAAUGUGAGAGUCCUAGGAUGUCAAGUUAACAAGUUGCCAAUUAAAUAUCCAGGUUAAUAUGUCAAAUAGAGCUUUAGUAGAUUUCCUACUACCUUUCUUUAGAUAAAAGAGUUGGCUGAUACCUUCUUAACUCACUUAAAUAUUGAGAGUUUUCAAGUGUUGCCAUGAGCAACUUUUCAUGUAGCCGAAAAAAAAUCCCUUUUCGUAAAGCUGUUAGGACAUGAUGUUUUUCUUGUUAUUGUUUAGCUAUUUAUACGGAAUGACAUUUCUCUUUUCCUAUUAUGAAGCUAGAAGCUCUUUUAAUUUAUAUUGAGGCUAAGCACUCUUGAGGAUUUUACUAAAAUAAUCUUUCCUAAUAGACCUUUUUAUACCCUUGAUUUUGUUUGUUUUCUGAUGGGUUUGCCUUUAUCCAUUUUAAAAGCUAGUUGCUGCUUGUUUGUGGCUGGUUCAGCACAACCAUUUCUUUAAGCUUUUGGUUGGGGUCCUGCAAUACCUGAUAACAGGAAGCUAUUUAUGAAGUUAUGUUGUCACCUUAAUAGAACUAUAUUCUUGUCUAUUUGGUUCCCAAAAAAUAUACAUAGUUAUUUCUGGUCAAUGUUGUGAAAUUUUUUAGGUGCAUCAGAAGAAAAUGUUAGAGAGCUCUUCUCCAAGGCAUACAGGACUGCACCGUCUAUUGUAUUUAUUGAUGAGAUUGAUGCAAUUGCUUCCAAGAGAGAAAAUCUACAGAGGGAGAUGGAGAGACGAAUUGUAACACAAUUGAUAACUUGUAUGGAUGAAUCUCAUAGACUUGGUCUACCAAGGGAUAAAGAUCCAAACACAGCAAAGUCUGAUUCUUUACCUGGCUAUGUCCUUGUGAUUGGGGCUACUAAUAGACCUGAUGUUGUUGACCCUGCAUUAAGAAGGCCUGGAAGAUUUGACCGUGAGAUUGUUCUAGGUGUUCCGGAUGAGAUUGCAAGAGUUGAGAUUCUCUCUGUGCUGACACGCAACCUUAGAUUAGAGUGUUCUUUCGAUCUUGUGAAAAUAGCCAGGUUGACACCAGGAUUUGUUGGAGCCGAUUUGGCUGCUCUUGCUAACAAGGCUGGUAAUCUUGCAAUGAAGAGAAUCAUUGAUACAAGGAAGUCUGAGCUUUCAAGAGAUUCUAUAGAUGAGGAACAUAACGAUGAGUGGUGGAGACAGCCAUGGUUGCCUGAAGAGAUGGAGAAGCUAACUAUCUCAUUGGCUGAUUUUGAGGUAGUCUAAUCUAUGUUAUUCAAAAUUUUCUCUAGACAAAAAGAUUUUUUAUAUACCUUUCAUUUUAUCACAUAGCUGUUGGAGGUAAAGGUUUUCAAAUAAUUCCUUAUCCUCAUAAUCAUAGGGUUUAAGAUUGUUUUGUCAUCAAUUGGUUCGUAUUCAUCAUACUAAUGUUGGAAGUAGAGGUUUUUGAAUAAUCUCUGAUACUCGUAAUUAUGUAUAGGGUUUAAGCUUGUCUAUUCAUGAAUGGUUUCACCAUUUGCAUGUAUCAGUGUGACUGUUAAGUAAGAUUGAUAAAAUUCCUGUCUUUUCAUCUUUAUUAAAUGCACAUAACUAAUUUUGCAAAUGCAUGACCUUUAUGUAUUUGAUGCUUUUAUGGUGAUUUGCUUGGUUUUCGUUAUAUAUUGCUUAUUUGCAGUUCAUUAACGUUUGAAAAUUGCUUAGUAAAAUUACUAAAUUACUUUUCUUAACACUGACAUGGCUUUCAUUUGAUAUCAUCUGCCAUCUUUUCUCUGUGUUUUUUUUAUUCUUCGCAGGAGGCUGCAAAAAUGGUGCAACCAUCUUCUAGAAGAGAAGGAUUCUCUACUAUACCUAAUGUCAAAUGGGAAGAUGUUGGUGGGCUUAACGGUCUAAGGCAGGAAUUUGAUCGAUAUAUUGUUAGGCACAUAAAAUUUCCGGAGGACUAUAUGGUAUUAUUGAUAACUGCUAUCCCUGUUCCUGCUUCCUGGUUCCUACUCACUGACCCUUUCAUUGUCUGCAGAUAUGUUUGCCCACUCAUCAAGCUUUUAAUACUAAAAAUGAUGAACAUUAAUGGAUGUGAUGUGGCAGUGCAUAUCCUCAAGAACUGAAAAAAAUUGGAGAAGAAUUUAUUGUUCUGCCAAGGCUACUUAUGAAAGUAUUGCUUGAUAAAUUAAAAGGUUUAAUACUUGGAAUGUUGAAGCUGGUGGAAUCUUAACAUAUUCCAGUUAGGUUGAUUUUAGAAACAAAUUGGUUGAUGAAUGAAAAACCUGUAUGAAAUAGUUUUGCUUGCACGUGCAGUGGAGGUUUCUUACUUUUCUUUGAUUCGGCUCUCAAUUCUGUCAUUUUUUCUUCAAAUCGUUACCAUGAAUUUGGCCUAUGAUUCUUCAGGUAAAGUAGUUCUUGAUCUAUUUGUUAUUUGUUAACACCCUUAAAUGCUCUUUUUAGAGUGAUCCUUACUAAAACUUUCUGAAAGUUUCUACUUGCUAGAAAGGUAAAGUUUUUGUUUGGAUUGCAGUUCUAAGUAGGCUGAAUACUAAUAAUUUGCUUUAGGCUCGUAGGCUGCAUCAUGUUUUGUCCCCGGGUUGAGUCCAAUGUGUUUUAGAGCUGAUGAAUCUCACAGUUGUCUUUUCUUGUAUCGUGAUAUGGCUUAGAGACAAUGGACUUGCUUAUUUGGCACUCUUGGUGUUUCCUUGGUUUCUCCUUUAAAUUUAGGUUGUAUUUUUUCUUCAGUUUGUGGUGUUGGUAGGAGGGUAGAAGAUAGAUUACUGUGACAAGGGGCUUUAUUUUCUUGGUUGUAGGUGUUGGGUUGGAGAGAAAUUUCUAGGAUUUCAAGAAUGAUUUCUUGCCGUUAUUGCUUAUAUGUGAAGGAUGACUUUUUGGCAUCUUUUUGGGUUAAGUCAUAUAGGCUCUUUAAAAAUGUCUUUUUUUUUUAAAAAAAAUCUAUUCUGCAUUGAUUGGCUGAUUAUUUUUAUUGACUUCUACUGACUCUCCUCUUUUUAUUUUGUUGUUUUAUCUUUGUUUUGGUUGGGGGAAACUAGUUCUUUAGUUGAUCUCUUUUCAUCCUUCUAGUGAAUAAUGAUACUUAUUUUUAAAAAAAAUUAGAAAAGAGGUUUUUUAUCUGUGAAUCAAUAGCAUGGUGGAUAUUUUAUCUUUAUAACUACAUUCAGUUUGCAACAGUUUUCUUAAUCUUUCUCAUUUUAACAGGACACUGUAAAAAGAUCAAACUUGAUGUUCCUUUAGUAUGUCUAUUUCAGUGGCAAAACUUUACAAACAUUAGUUCAACAACUGAGAUAUAUUAGUGGAAUAUAGAUGUUGCAGCAUAGUUGUAACUUUGUUUAUGCUAAUUUGUUUGGUAGCUAUAGUCGUAGCUUGAGUUUUUGCAAUUUCAUCUGAUUCCCUUUUGUAUAUUAGUUUUUAUCUUGUUGGCUUCAGGUGUAAUCUCUUCCUUUCUUGGCACUUGUUUUUGCUGCUUAUCUUGAUAGACAGCAUUCCUGCCAUAAAAUGAAUGUGAUCCUAGAGUUCUUUGUGAUAUCAGGAAUUCGGAGUUGAUAUGGAGACAGGAUUUUUGCUUUAUGGUCCACCAGGCUGUGGCAAAACAUUGAUUGCCAAGGCCGUAGCUAAUGAGGCAGGAGCAAAUUUCAUCCACAUCAAGGUAAUUACUAGUGCAUUCUUUUCCUUUCUAUUUUUUUAAAUGGUUUUGGGAAGUGUCUUCUGUGUUCGGUAACUGUCUUUUGUUCGUUUGCAUGCAAUUUGCAAGCUCUAGUUCAUAUUAUCUAAAGUUCCAUUGACUGGUUAGGGCCCUGAACUUCUAAAUAAAUAUGUUGGAGAGAGCGAGCUAGCAGUUCGAACAUUAUUCAGUCGUGCCAGGACAUGUUCCCCAUGCAUACUCUUCUUUGAUGAGGUUUGUCUUCUAUUUUGAUAUACUUCAUCAUUAUUUUGCAUUUCGAUUAGGUGCUAGGAUUUCAUUACAACACCUAUUGUUGUUGUAACUAUAGGGAGUUUCCCAUUUUGGAAUCCUAGAUUUUCAUUUAUGUGUGAUUUAUAGGUUGUAAAUAGGAAGAAAAAUAAGAAAGUUCUAUGACCUCCUCUGCUCUAGUUUGGCUUUUGGUUAAUCAACACCCUCUUCGUUAUGAAUCCCUGACCAUCUCCUCUUAUGGUGCCUGGAGGCAGAAAGACUGUAGGAUUCAACAUCUAGUUUAUUGAACAUCCAGGGAUGGUGAGUGGAUCUAUCUCAAAAGCUCUUGCUGGGUAUGGUCUCAGUUCUGCCAAGAGCAUCAUUCUAUUUCUGUGAUUAUGUUGGGAGAAAGGAAUAUGGUUUUGAGUGUUAUGCAUCUAACCUUUGAAAUUAGAUAUCUUUGGUUUCAGAUCUUAAGUGUUAUAACAAUGAUCAUUCCCCUCCUCAAUGAGAUGCAGAAGCUUCUUGACCUUUUGGCUGAUUCUCUUCUGACCCUUCUCUCUAUCUUGUGCAUGGCUUGCACCCCCUUGAUGCCUUUCUUUAUAUUACUCGUUUUCUUCUUUGCAAAACAAUCAUUAUCGAUUCUUGAUUUGUUUUUAGAAUUGUCGGGUUCUUUUGGUUACUUGAGAAAUUUUGGGUCUUACUGAAUGACGUUUGAUAAAAGAUAAUGAAUUGUUACUGAACUUUUGAGGUUUUGACAUCUCUAUAAUUAUCUUAGGUGGAUGCACUGACAACAAAACGUGGGAAAGAAGGGGGAUGGGUUGUUGAGCGGCUUUUGAACCAGGUAAAUUAAUCUUGUGUAGCUGUUAUUUUACAGUCUCUAUUGGCUACCUCUAUGUACUCUCCACAAUAAUUUAUUGCGUCUUGGUUUUAACUAAAUGCAUGGCUUACAAGUGCAGCUACUCAUAGAAUUGGAUGGUGCAGAGCAACGGCGAGGUGUUUUUGUCAUUGGAGCCACUAAUAGGUGUGGUUUAUUGUCCAUUCCCUUUAAUAUUUGUUCUGAUGGUGGUCACUAGUACUGUUUAUUUAUUCCAGUUGGCAUCUUGUUUUGCAGAAUUGACGUGAUAGAUCGUGCUGUAUUACGGCCUGGUAGGUUUGGCAAACUUCUUUAUGUUCCACUACCUAGUCCAGAUGAACGGGGUUUGAUCUUAAAAGCACUUGGCCGCAAGAAGCCAAUAGAUUCCAGUGUGGAUUUGAGUGCCAUUGGGAGAAUGGAGACUUGUCAAAACUUCAGUGGGGCUGAUCUUGCUGCACUGGUUUGUUUACAAUCUUAUCUUCUCUGUAUGUUAUUCUGGAAGUGUUUGUGAAAACUUUAGUGGAGCUUUUGGCUUCACUUUUCUCAAAAUUCUGUCCACAGAAUCAAUAUCAACUUACAAUUCAUAGGAUCUUCUGUGCACAAUGUGUAUAGUCUUGGUUUGAGGGCUUUAAAGGCUUACAGUUUCUAUUAAAAUGACUUUAGAUUAAUGAAGCUGCAAUGGCUGCUCUAGAAGACAAACUGACGUCAAGUAUGAGCUGUUCAGAUCAAACUCCAUGGAUGAUCAAAACGAUCCAUUUUGAACUCGCACUGAAAAAGGUCUCAGCAUCCGUCAGUGAGAAGGUAUACUUCCCCUUAUAAACGCCAAAUGCAUAGUGUAUCAGGUCCUUUCUGUCUAUUCAAGUAGUUGUAACACUAUCCUUUUUGGCUGUUAUUUGGGAAGCAGCAAAACCUUUAUUACCAGGCUUUGUCAGAGAAGUAUAAAACAGCAUAAGCAGAAAUCUUCAAUUGCUAAUGACCAGGGAAGGAAUGCAGGACAAAGAAGCCAUGUUGAUGUGGCAAGUUUGUUGAUGGUCUGAUGACUACAGCGGAUAUAUCGAGCAUCCAGCUUGUAUUUCUGACCAUAUGGUAAAAGCUAGUUGCUGAUUAGAAAUGUCCGUUUAGGGGACUCAAUUUUUUAACUUUUUUUUUUUGUUCUUUUGGAUGCAAAGGGAGAAUAAUAUUCAUAUUUUUUUAACUUUUACUUAAAAUAAUUCUUUUUUCCUCUAAAUAUUCCCAGAGUUCUCAAACCAUCUUGUUCUUUAUAGUGCUGGUACUUUUUGAACCAUCACCCUAAGUCAAAGAGGGGAAUAACUGACCACGGUGGUAGCAAACCAUAAUGUCUAGUUAUUUGGCAUAUCCAGACAUCUUAAACCAACCUAAGAAAACACUAAACCACACACAAAAGCAAAAACAAAAUUAAUUUUAUUCAUGAGCAGAUAAAGGACUACAACCACAUAAUUUAUAAUGAAAAUGUUUCAAGAAAUCUUGUUGAAUUAAAGAAGAGAAAGCGAACUUACCGAAUUGAAAUUUUGGUGAUGAGCAACAUGGUGGACGCUCAUUUAACAUCACAAGUAGAAUCUGACACCAGUACACACAGGCAUGCAGAUGUAACACAAAGAUCAUCAUCAGUUGCCUCAUUUUUGGUCCAAUACUAAAUAUAUACUUACUUAAACAUAUACAUAUAAAUAAUGUAUAUAAAGGUUUCCUUCUUUGUGUGUGUGUAUAUAUAUACAGCUAGCUAAAAAUGUAUAUUUUGUGCAUUAGUUUAUUUCGUGCUUUCUUUUAGACAGUGAAAUGUAUCAGUUCUUAUCAAUCCCCAAUGGCCUUUUAGCUUAGAGGCCAACUUUAUAUCAGCACAUUUUUUUGCAUGCGUUACAUUGCAUACACUCCCUUUUAAAUAUGAUUUCGGGUUUAACUUUGUAGAUAUUUAACAAUCAUGGUAAACCUGUUUAAAAAUUUAAUUAUGCUUCUUCAGUUUUAAAUUCCAUCAAUUUUUAUUUUUAUUCAAAUUUUAUAAAAUAAUAAUAUAAUGUAACCAUAACAAAAAUUUUAAUAAAAAUAGUACUUUAGUUACAAGUUAAUUUUAUAUUCAAUUCAAAUUAGUAUUUUUAUUAUUUAUUUAUUAUUAUAAAUUCAUAAUCAUAGAAUUGAAAAUAUCAGAAAAUUGAUUAAAUUAUGCAUCAAAUUUUAAAUUAUGAUUACUGAUUUUCAUAUAUUAAAUAAUUAAAAUUUAAUAAUUACAUAAAAACAAAAAAAA
rnacentral:lncRNA from 1 species